CUCCGCACAGGUUUAUCGCAAACACUUUUCUGCCCAGGUCGUCUGUUUUUCUUGCUCUUCUUAUUCUUCUUUCUUAUCUUGUACGACGGCUUCCAUCUAAUAACUCUAUCGUUCUACUCCUUGUCCAACCGGAAAGAAGAAAAAGUUUCAAAAGAGUUCGGUUUUGCUAAUAAACAAUAUAGAAGCCGCAUACUUUCCCAAACAAAACCUCGUUUCUCACUCAUACAAAAAUCGAAUUUGAGAAUUUGGGACUGAGAAGAAGAAGAAGGAGCCAUGGGAGAAAGGAAAGUAUUGAACAAGUAUUAUCCGCCGGAUUUCGAUCCAGCGAAGAUUCCACGGCGGAAACAGCUUCCGAAUCAGCAGAUGAAAGUGCGCAUGAUGCUUCCUAUGAGCAUUCGUUGUGCUACUUGCGGCAAUUACAUCUAUAAGGGCACCAAAUUCAAUUCCCGAAAAGAGGACGUAGUUGGCGAGACCUACUUAGGAAUACAAAUCUUCAGAUUCUACUUCAAGUGCACAAAGUGUUCCGCAGAGAUUACCUAUAAGACAGAUCCAAAAAAUUCCGAUUAUACUGUUGAAUCAGGUGCAACUAGGAAUUUUGAGCCUUGGCGUGGCCAAGAUGAGGAAAUGGAGAAGGAGAAACAGAAAAGAGAUGCUGAAGAAAUGGGUGAUGCAAUGAAGUCAUUAGAAAAUAGAACCUUGGAUUCGAAGAGAGAAAUGGAUAUUAUGGCUGCAUUAGAUGAGAUGAAAUCCAUGAAAUCGAGACAUGCAACUGUGAGCGUAGAUGCAAUGCUUGAAGCUUUGCAGCGGGCAGAUGAGGCAAAGGCGAGGAAGCUGGAGGAAAAAGAUGAAGCUCUCAUAAGAUCAGUUUUCCAGGGUUCAAGAGAGAUAAUCAAAAGAAUUCCUGAUGAAGAGCUUGAGGAGGACGAUGAUGAUUUAGCUUUUUUUGCCCCAGAAAGUUCAGGGUCAGAAAACAACUCUCUUAAGAGGAGAAAGGUUUCUGAGGAACCUAAUGAAAAACCCACAAAUUUUUUGACAAAAGCCAGCGUUACUGACAGCUCUAUCAACGAAGAUAAAGCAUCAUCGAGUGAUGGUAAAAUCAUUUUCAAGUCCUCAUCAAUCAAAAUAUCCGUAGUUAAGAAGCCGCUCUCAGAUUCCAACAGCAAGAAGAGAGUAGAAGGAAAGCAGCAAGAGGCAGAAAAGACUGGUGGGACAAGCAAUGGUCUACUAUCGCUAUGUCAACAAUAUGAAAGUGAUGAAGAUGACUGAUUCAAUGAUUCCUAUAAGCUGUCAAUGUCCAUAUAUCCGCCAAAACUAUUAAUUAAUUGCGGGGUGCUAUUUUCAUCGGGAAUGCUCUUUCUCUGUGCACUUGAAGCUUAAGCUUUGGCUCUCUGCAAAUCGCCAGUUUGUAGGUAAAAAGAAAAAGGAGAGGAGAAAAUUGCAGCCGUUUACUUUAUCUGCUGGACGUUUCCCUAACUGUUUGUUUCUACUUAUUGGGUUUGAACUUGAAUUAAUCAGAUUUGAGUCCAUUAAGUACAGUUUUUGUAACCAUUUAUUUGGUUAGAGCAUAACAGACUUGUCUUUAAUUUA